UACGUAGGGUGCAAGCGUUGUCCGGAAUUAUUGGGCGUAAAGGGCUCGUAGGCGGUCCGUCACGUCGGGAGUGAAAACUUGGGGCUUAACCCCAAGCCUGCUUCCGAUACGGGCGGACUAGAGGUAGGCAGGGGAGAACGGAAUUCCUGGUGUAGCGGUGAAAUGCGCAGAUAUCAGGAGGAACACCGGUGGCGAAGGCGGCAUCCUGGACCGACACUGACGCUGAGGCGCGAAAGCUAGGGGAGCAAACGGG
rnacentral:rRNA from 1 species